UCUUCCCCCCUAAAAUCCCUAAUUUCCUCCCUUGAAACCCCCAACAUCACAAACAUACCGCCCUUUAAAACUUUUAACUCCAUGCCCAUUGCUAUCUUUUCUUCCUCAACCCCAAUUCUUAAACUCCGAUAUUGACUAAAAAAAUAAAAAGAAUCGUUUGUACGUCUCUUCUCUUCUCUGUCUGUCUUUCUUUCUCUUCUUUGGCUUAGCCAUGUCUCUGCUUUCUCUAUAAUUUCCUUAGCAAAGAAGAGAAAGCAAAGAAAUCAAAGUAAACAAAUGAAAACCCACCAAAAAAUUCAAAUCUCUUGUUAGUGUUUUUUUUUUGGUGCGUGUGUGUGUAUGCGCGUUCAAAAAAAGCGAAUUAUUUUUUGGGUUUUAAGCUGUUGAACGGUGAAGAACAUGACGAUUGCAAAUAGUUUUGAUUUGUGGAAAAAAGAUGCCUUCUUUUCUGCAGCAGAAGAGGUUCAAGAAUCUACUGAUAUGCAUGUUAUUUUUUUUAAUUUUAAAUUUCAUGCCUUUUUUUUUUAAAUUUACUGGGGUUUGUUUGGUGACAUGGAUUGCAAAAAAUGAUUUUUUGGUUACCCGCUCAUUACUCCCUCUUCUUCUCAUCUCCGUCGUGCGCCCUAAAUCCCCCAAAUAAAAGUUUUUUUUUCUUCAGCUGAAAUCCCUCAAAUAGAAAUCGGACCGAGCAGCUUUACAUCAAGGAAGAAGAAGAGUCGGAAAAACAAAAGCAGCUAAGUUGCCCUUAUGGCUUGUGAAGGCGAGUAUUUUUGGCAUGUAAUUCAGCUACAAAAUUUUCAGUUUUUUGUUUGGCAAAAAUAGAAAGGCAAAUCCCCAAAGCCCUUUGGAUUAAAUGGUUUUAAUUAUAGUAAAUUUGACUUGCCCUUUUGUUUUACCUUAAUCUACUUUUGCUAGUUUGUGGAUGCUUUCCCUUUUCGUAUUUUCUCUCUAUUUUGAUCAUCUUCGAACAGAUCGGCUUCAGAUGGGUGAGGUAGUCUCUACAAUUGCAAGUAGGUUUGCCUUUGCCGGCUACCCUCUCAAUUCUUUUUUAUCAUUCUUGUUUUGGGUUUUCAUUUUUUUUCUAAAUGACUGACAGCUUCGAUGCGCCAUUUUUUUGAACUCUUUUUUUACAGCAAGCAAUGGCCCCAAAAGGUAUUUGGAUUUUAGCUGUUACUGGUUUUAGUUUCAUUGGACGUAAUUGUUAACUCGAUGAUGUCUCUCAAGCAAAUGCAUCAAAGCUAAAAGUUUAUAUUACUGGUUCAUUGUUUUUAUAGUUUUAAAAGUUGUAUCUUUGGGUUUAUUAUGGUUCAUUAUUUUUUAUUGGAAUAUGUAGUUGCUGCCCUCUUUGAAUGUCAAUAGAGGCCAGCCAAUUACAAUAUCUUUUGAAGUGAUUUGUGUUAGAUAUUAUUUUUGCAAUGGCAUUUGUGUAUGCAGGGGCGAAUCCAUAAUUUAUUUUAGGGGCCAAAAUUGAAUUGUAAUUUUCUGAGAUGUCAAAUAUAUAUUUUAUCAUAUAUUAGUUUAUGAUUUUAUAAUUUUUGAAAGGAUUAAGUAUACUUUUUUUCCAUUUUUUGAGGGGGCCAAAGCAUAAUUUUCCUUUAUAGUGAUUUAUAAUUUGAUCAUAUGUAAGGGGUUAUAAUUUGAUCAUAUUAUUGGUUUAUCAAUUGUUGGGAGAUUGUUCUCAUAACACUAGCUACUGGUCCAUUCAUUGUUGCUGCUGGAGGCAUAUCUAAUAUAUUUCUUCAUAGGCUUGCUGAGAACAUCCAAGAUGCUUAUGCUGAGGCAGCUAGCAUUGCUGAACAGGUUUUUCUCUUCUCUCCUGGCUCCAUUACUUUCAACCAGACUUAUUUUUCUUAAUGUUGUUAAGUGAAUUUAAAAUCCCCCAUAUAGUUUGCUUUAUGACCCCUUGGUUUUUAAAGUUUCACAAUUUACUUCAUAUUUGUUAUUUUAACCCUAUUUAUAAAAUCUAAAAACUCUAUUAUAUAAAUCAGAAAAUGCCCCUCCUCAGUACAAAAAUAAUUAGAAUCAUGUUAAUGAGUUGAUAUGUAGGGAUUUCUUUGACUGGUUAGAGCAAUUCUUAUGAAAUACAAAAAUUACAAAUGAUUCUUUUUAGUAAAACACAAGGGAAGAUUAGUUGAUGAUGACAAGCUGUAUAUUAUAAAACUAAUGGUGGAAUGGAUCUUUUAUCCUUAAUCAAGCUGACUUCAAAGUAUAAUUGCAUAAUAUGGGUACUUCUUAAAUUUGAAAUUUACUAUUUCUAAAGAGCACCAAAACCAGAUAUACAUUUUUUAUUAUUUUUUCUUUUCUGGGUUUUGUAUUUAAUAUAUAUACAGUCACAAAGAGCUCUCUUUGUUUUUUAAGCUGCUGUUGCUUUCUUUUUGCCACCAUUUCUUUUCUUUUUCAUGGUCUCUCAUUUUACCAUUUGUUGCCUUCACCAUGGAGAUGGAGAAAAGGCUUCUCUUUUCACUUCUUUUAUUCUAGCUGCUGCUUCUUUUGGAUUCCUCUUCAGCUCAGAUGCAAGAUUUAGGACUAAGACAACCAAGGUUAGAAGGGGAAAAAUAUUUAUCAAUUAUUGAUGAGUUCAUCGAAGCGGUUUUAACACGUUGGCCUAAGGCUAUUGUACAGUUUGAGGAUUUUCAAAUGAAGUGGGCCUUUGAAACUCUGAAACGCUAUCGGGAAAGGUUUUGCAUGUUUAAUGAUGACGUACAGGGAACUGCUGGAGUUGCACUUGCUGGAUUGUUAAGAACUGUAAGAGCACAAGGUUGAUCUUUGGAUGAUUUUCCAAACCACAAGAUUGUUGUGGUGGGAGCUGGAAGUGCAGGGCUUGGUGUUCUUAGCAUGGCUGUUCAAGCUGUUGUAAGGAUGACAGGAAAUGCAGAAACAGCUGCACAGAACUUCUUCCUACUUGAUAAAGACGUACAAUUUUGUACCUCCUUUCUAGCUUUUUUCACCCUAUUUGUGCAAAGCCUUUUAUGUUCUUUUAGAUAUGUAAUGUCCUUUCUCUUGUAUAAUGAAGAUGUGGAUUUUAUGAACUAAUCAUGUAAAAAUGUUUUGCUAGAAAAUCACCUGCGGAUUUCUUUUUAUGAUAUCUACUUCAUUCA